rnacentral:rRNA from 1 species
AUGUGCAUUUCCCUUGCAUGGUUGAAAUCCAAAGGCAAGAACAGGACCCAGGGAAAGCACAAGAAGGCGCUAUUGGAUGGCUCAAGUGAUCUUGAAUUCCCAUUUGUAAGAUUUGAGGAGAUUGCCCUAGCAACACAUAAUUUCUCGGAAACAUGUAUGACUGGACGGGGAGGCUUUGGCAAAGUUUACAAGGGAACACUAGGCGAUCAGGAAAUUGCUGUCAAACGGCUAAAUAAGGAUUCUCAACAAGGAACAAAUGAAUUCAGAAAUGAAGUAAUACUUAUUGCCAAACUUCAACACAGAAAUUUGGUUCGACUUCUUGGAUGUUGUGACGAGGGAGAUGAAAAGUUGUUGAUUUAUGAGUAUUUGCCUAAUAGAAGCUUAGAUGCCACCCUUUUCGAUGAUUCAAGGAAAUUGCUGCUGGAUUGGGGAACACGUUUAAAUAUAAUCAAAUGUGUCGCCAGGGGGCUUCUUUAUCUCCACCAAGAUUCAAGGCUGACCAUAAUUCACAAAGAUCUCAAAGCUGGAAAUGUUUUGCUAGAUGCACAGAUGAAGCCCAAGAUAGCGGAUUUUGGUAUGGCGAGGAUCUUCGGUGAUAACCAGGAAAAUGCAAACACCCAACGUGUCGUCGGAACAUACGGCUACAUGGCUCCUGAGUAUGCAAUGCAAGGCGUCAUCUCUACCAAGUCCGACAUCUAUAGUUUUGGCGUGUUGCUAUUGGAGACUGUAACCGGUAUGAAGAGAAGCUCCAGCAGUCCCAUGGGCUCUCCUAGCCUCAUAGCUUACUCAUGGAAUAUGUGGAAGGACGGGAAGGCAGAGGAGUUGGCCGACCCAUCUAUCAUGGACACAUGCUUACCAGAUGAGGUGUUGCUUUGCAUUCAUGUAGCCCUCUUGUGUGUCCAAGAAAACCCAAAAGACAGGCCACACAUGUCAUCAGUUGUGUUGGCGCUAGAGAAUGGGAGCACUACACUGCCAGCUCCCGACCGGCCUGCAUACUUUGCAGGAUGGAGCACUGAACUGGAGCAGCUCAGAAACAAUAUUCAGAAUUCUGUGAAUAGGUUAACUCUUACUGGUAUAGAGGGUCGAUAA